rnacentral:miRNA from 1 species
UCACGUCAGGGCCACGAUGGUU